rnacentral:lncRNA from 1 species
CUGCGACCGAUCCAUCAGUGGAAGAAUUUCUAUUUUGACUUUAUUUUCAGUGUUUGUUUAUAUUUUAUAAAAACAAUCACAAGUGAAAAUAUAUAUUCUAAACAAUUUGAAUAGUCCAUAGAAACAACGGUGAAAAUUUUUCAUAAUCCUUUCAAUAGGUUUUUGUUGAAAUUAGCGUGUUACGGAUAAUAAGCAAAGAUUUCCGGGUAACAUUUGACAGUGCAGUCAGUACAUCACAAAAUUAAAAUGGACGAACGACCAGAGACGACCAUCGCAACUUAAUAAAAGAGGAAAUUUAGUAGAAAUUUUAUUAAAAAAAGAAACAAAUAAUAUAUCCAAACUAAUCAGUUCCCGAUAUCUGUGAUUUAAAAAUAAGUAAUAACGAUCUCUAAUUAAAAUAUAACAUAAUUUAACACAUUUUAAUAUAAGGAUACAACAAUAUCGAUUAUAAUAAUAGAAGAAAUAUCACAAGACAAACAGAAAAAUGCCAGCGAUUUUCUCAAAAAUUCGAGAGCAGGCGUCAAGGGUGCAACCCACAGUGGCUCUGGGCGUCGGUGUUGGGGUGGCCCUAGCAGCCUGCGCUCUAUACGGGACCAGAGACAAGAAGCAGACAACACCAUGCAACAAUAAUAAUAAUUAUAAGGUAAGCUACAUAA